rnacentral:rRNA from 1 species
GAUGAACGCUGGCGGCGUGCCUAAUACAUGCAAGUCGAACGCUUCACUUCGGUGAAGAGUGGCGAACGGGUGAGUAAUACAUAAGUAACCUGGCAUCUACAGGGGGAUAACUGAUGGAAACGUCAGCUAAGACCGCAUAGGUGUAGAGAUCGCAUGAACUCUAUAUGAAAAGUGCUACGGGACUGGUAGAUGAUGGACUUAUGGCGCAUUAGCUGGUUGGUAGGGUAACAGCCUACCAAGGCGACGAUGCGUCGCCGACCUGAGAGGGUGACCGGCCACACUGGGACUGGGACACGGCCCAGACUCCUACGGGAGGCAGCAGUAGGGAAUUUUCGGCAAUGGGGGAAACCCUGGACGAGCAACGCCGCGUGAAGGAAGAAGUAAUUCGUUAUGUAAACUUCUGUCAUAGAGGAAGAACGGUGGAUAUAGGGAAUGAUAUCCAAGUGACGGUACUCUAUAAGAAAGCCACGGCUAACUACGUGCCAGCAGCCGCCGCGG